CCUACGGGAGGCUGCAGUGGGGAAUAUUGCACAAUGGGCGAAAGCCUGAUGCAGCAACGCCGCGUGAAGGAAGAAGGGUUUCGGCUCGUAAACUUCUAUUAACAGGGACGAAAGAAAUGACGGUACCUGAAUAAGAAGCCCCGGCUAACUACGUGCCAGCAGCCGCGGUAAUACGGAGGAUGCGAGCGUUAUCCGGAUUUAUUGGGUUUAAAGGGUGCGUAGGCGGGCAUUUAAGCCGGCGGUCAAAUGUCGGGGCUCAACCCCGGCCUGCCGUCGGAACUGGGUGCCUUGAGUGGGCGAGAAGUAUGCGGAAUGCGUGGUGUAGCGGUGAAAUGCAUAGAUAUCACGCAGAACCCCGAUUGCGAAGGCAGCAUACCGGCGCCCUACUGACGCUGAGGCACGAAAGUGCGGGUAUCGAACAGGAUUAGAUACCCCUGUAGUC
rnacentral:rRNA from 1 species